rnacentral:lncRNA from 1 species
CUCGCACCGGCGCUGGGGUGCAGGCUUUCAGUGGUCUCAGGGCUACGGCUUGUCGGUGCCUCGCCGCACAGUCCCCUUUGCAUUGAAGGACACGGUCUUACGGUGUAGGAGCAUUUUUGAGGUGCAUUCCUGGAUUUGGAGGCGAACCCCCAAUGGUUACCUCCACAGAGGCUUUGCGAAGGGCGCUCACUGACUUAGGUGAAGAGCGAAGGCUCAAGACUGUGCCGCUUUAUAGUGGCCCCUUGACGUCCAGAAGUUCCCCCCAGCGCCGGUCAUAAGCACUCCCGCCGCCUGGGCCCCGCCCUGCCUGCCAGGCGCCCUCCAGCCUCAGCUCCCGGACGCCCGGCGUGGCCGCUUUCUCGCGUCUUGCUGACCCGGGCCGGGGGCGUGUGCUCCUCCUGCAGCGGACGGAAGAUGCUGGGCCACGCAAGUUUCCCUGGGCUUGGUUAACCACCCCAAAGCCCAUUUCCAGAAGGAAAGGGUGUUGAGGAGGAGGGAUAGAAAGUCGAGAAGAGGGCCGGGUGAGUGGCUCACGCCUGUCAUCCCAGCACUUUGGGAGGCCGAGACAGGCGGAUCACCUGAGGUCAGGACUUAGAGACCAGCCUGGCCUACAUGGUGAAACCCCGUCUCUACUAAAAAUACAAAAAUUAGCCGGGUGUGGUGCCGUGCGCCUGUAGUCCCAGCAACUCGGGAGGCUGAGGUAGGAGAAUCGCUUGAACCCGGGAGUCGGAGGUUGCAGUGCUGAGAUGGCACCUGGCCUGGGCGGCAAGAGCGAAACUCCAUCUCAAAAAAAAAAAGAAGAGGAAAUGAGGCAUAGGGGCAGGCGAGCCGGGAAAAUAUUGCUACUAAGGAUCCUAAGCAGUGAACAUGCUGUUAAUACUUGGUCUUGCUCUGUUGCUCAGGCUGGAGUGAAGUAGAGCAUUCACAGCCCACUGCAACCUUGAACACCUGGGCUCAAGCAAUCCUCCUGCCUCAGCCUCCUGAGUAGCUGGGACCACAGAUGUGUACCACCAUGCCCAGCUACAUGUCUUUCUUUUGGGGGGACAGCAGAAACCUGGGCAGAGGAGGAAUCCUGAUACCCAGUUCUGAAACAAAGUGGCAGAAUUUGUAAUACAGAAGAAGGAUCUUGUGACUGGUAUUCUGUUAUCCACAAGAGUAAAUGUUCCCAAAUAAACAAAACUGGGAUAUGAAAUGAUGAGAUCUUGCUCUGUCACCCAGACUGGAGUGCAGUGGCACGAUCAUAGCUCACUGCACCCUCAAACUCCUGGACUCAAAUCAUCCUCUACCUCUGCCUCCAUGAGUAACUGGAACUACAGGCAAACUCCAACAUUGUCUAUUGGGAAUAAAUAACACUCAGUGAAGAAAACUGGAGAAAUGAAAAUGACUAAGAGAAGGAAUCAUGUCAACACAGAUUCUCGGAAUUAAACACUUCCAUGUCCCAGAGGAUCAAAGUCACUUGCAAAAAUACCUCAAAAUGUGUUUGUCAAGAAAUUACACUUUCUCUUGAUUUUGUGGACCACUUUCUAAUUUCCAACCCAGACAAAAGCCUCCUAGUGAAGCUGGUCUUUCCUAGCACAUCCCCCUACCCCCCCAGCCACUGUCCCAUCCCUGGAUGGCCUGUCCACAGAGAGCACUGUCUGUGUGGCCACUGGGGGAGGCAGCUGCAUCCCAGAGAUGAUGGUGUCCAGGGCAUGACGAGGAAGCUCUUUGUGUGGCCUGGAGACGUCCCGGGAGCUGGCUGGCGCCCACCUUCUCUCACUUCCUUACCACCUUCUUUCUUGUGUUGCUGCUUUCUCCUUCCCAGCUCUAAACUCCCAUGGUGCUGGAGCAGCCAGAGAAGAAGUGUUACUAGACCUGCCACUGCUACCUACAGUGAGCCCCAUUCUGCACACAGAGGCUGCGGACUCCUUUUUCCCAAUCAUAGACCAGAAUGCUUGUGAAAGAAGAUGUGGCUGUUCUGCAGGUUGGAGCUCUAGGAUCGGAAGAACUCAUCUGUAUCACAUAUGAUCCAGCUGAAAGUCCCUACAAACUGGGCCCUCUGUGUCUUUAGAAGCAGCUUCCAAGGGCAGGAAGACUUCCAGAGUGCAGGACUGAGCGUGCUGCUAAUCUUGUUCUGGUCGAGAGACUGAUGAGAGAGACA